UGACUCACCGGUCCCACCUGCAGGACAUGCCCAAAUUGCCUGCCAGCUACACCAGAACCACUUGGGGGACAAGCCGGAAUCACGUGAGGGGCAUGCCGGCACAGCCUCUCAAACGUGCCAGAACCUCGUGCCGGACACCCCAGAACCACCUGCCGGACAGACCGCAACCACCUGCCGGACACGCCAGAACCACCGGCUCGACCCGCCGGAACCACCGCCGGACAUGCAAAAUCACCUGCCAGCUAUGCCAGAACCACUUGGCGAACACUCCGGAAUCACCUGCCGGGCAUGCCGGAACCACCUCUCAGACAUGCCAGAACAAUAUGCCAGUGACCCCGGAAGCACCUGCCGAGCACACCGGAACCACCUGCUCGACUCGCCAGAACCACCUGCCGGACACGCAAAAGUCACCAGACGGCUACGCCCCAACCAGUUGGUGAACACUUCGGAAUCACCUGCCGGGCUUGCUGGAACCACCUGCCGGUCAUGCCAAAAUCACCUGCCAACUACGCCAGAACCGCUUGGCGGACACUGCGGAAACACCUGUCGGGCCGGCCGGAACCACAUCUCAGAUGUGCCAGAACCAUGUGCAUGAGAUGCCGGAUCCACACCCUGAACAGACGGGAACCACCUGGCAGACCCGCCUGAACCACCUGCCGAGCACGCCGGAACCACCUGAUCGACUCGCCGGAACCACCGACCUGACACACCAAAAUCACCUGCCGGGUAUGCCAGAACCACUUGGCGGACACUCCGGAAUCAUCUGCCGGACAUGCGGGAACCAGCUCUCAGACACACCAGAACCACGUGCCGGAGACGCCGCAAGCACCUGCCGAGCAUGCCGGAGCCACCUGCUCGACUCGCCAGAAACAACUGCCGGACACGCCAAAAUCACCUGCCUGCUAGGCCUGAACCACUUGUCGGACUCUCCGGGAUCACCUGGUGGGCAUGCCGGAACCAUGUCUCAGACGUGCCAGAACCAAGUGCCGGACACGCCAGAACCACCUGCCGACCAGGCUGGAACCACCAGCCGAACACGCCAAAAUCACCUGCCGGUAAUGCCAGAAUCACUUGGAGGACUCUCCGGGAUCACCGGCCGGGCAUGCCGGAACCAACUCUGAGACGUACCAGAAGCACGUGCCAGACACGCCGGAACCACAUCCUGGACAGACUGGAGCCACCGGCCGGACACGCACGAACAUCCUGCCGAGAAUGCCAGAAACACCUGCUCGGCUCCUGGGAAAAUCCUAUGGGGAAACUGUCAUACAAAUGAAGGUCAAACGGCCUUUCUUGCCAGGCCUUAGCUCGCCACUUUAGAACUUCUGCUUCUGCCACAAUUCCACCUUGCCAACCCGGCUCAGACGAAAUGCCUACAGAUUCCCCUUGAGCAAUUGGGACGAGGCCCGGAUGAUUGUGGUUCCACAUGCUGAGGAGGAGAGAGACAAUAGGCUUUUAACUAACCACCAAGUGCAAUGGUUGAGAGAGUGUCAGAAAGCACCAAUGGCAGAAAGACCCCUUUGCUCUCAGCCAUGCCCUCCAUUGCUCUAGAGCUGGAAGGCACAAAGGACUGCCUCAAUCCUUCAAUGCGAAACAAGCCAUAAACUGUCUUGCUUCCAGCUCUUUAGGAAGCUGAGAAAGAACUCGCUUUCCACAGUGCUGUUUAAGCAUAUGAGGAAACACUCAUACAAAUGCAGCUCAAACGCCAUUUCUUACCAGUGCUUAACUCGCCGCUUUAGGACUUCUGCUUCUGCCGCAAUUCCACCUUGCCAACCCGGUGAGACGAAAUGCCUACAUCUUCCCCUGAAGCAACUGGGCUGUGUCCAAAAUGAUUGAGCGUCCACGUGCUUAGGAGGUGAUAGACUGCACGCCUUUUUCCAACCUCCAUUGUGCACUGGUGGAGAGAGUGUUGGAAAGCAGCUGUGUCAGAAAGACCCCUUUGCUCUCAGCUCUGCCCUCCAUUGCUCUAGACGUGGAAUGCACAAUGCACUGGCUCUACCCCUCAAAGUUCCACAACCCACAGGCCAUCUUCCUUCCAUCUCUUUAGGAAGCUGAGAAAGAACUCGCUUUCACCAGUGCUCUUUCUGUGUCCUGGCAACAUCUCAUACAAAGGCUGCUGAUAUGCCGUUUCUUUUCAGCGCUUAACUCGCUGAUUUAGAACUUCUGCUUGCCAGAUUUACACCUUGCCAACCCGGCUCAGACAAAAUGCCUACAUCUUCCCCUUCAGCAACGGGAACGAGGCCCAGAUGAUUGUGCCUCCACAUGUUUAGCAAGAGGAGACAAUAGGCUUUUUACAAACUGCCAUUGUGCACUGGUGCAGAGGGUGUCACAAUGCACCUAUGUCAGAAAGGUCCCUUUCAUCUCAGACGUGCCCUCCAUUGCUCUAGAGGUGGAAGGCACAAAGCACUGCCUCCAUCCUUCAAUUGGAGAAAAGCAAUAAACUGUCCUCCUUCCAGCUCUUUAGGAAGCUGGGAAGGCACUCGCAUUUCACAGUGCUCUUACAGCAUCCUGGGAACAUCACAUACAAAGACAACUUAACGCCGUGUCAUUUCAGCCCUUAACUCACCAAUCUGCAACAUCCGCUUCUGCCACAUUUCCAUCUUGCCAACCCGGCUCAGACAAAAUGCCUACAUCUUCCCCUUGAGCAAUGGGGACGACGCCCGGAUGAUUGUGGUUCCACAUGCUGAGGAGGAGACAGACAAUGGGCUUUUAACCAACCGACCUUGAGCAGUGGUUUGGGGAGUGUCAGAAGGCACCAAUGUCGGAAAGGCCCUUUACUCUCGGCCGUGCCCUCCAUUCCUCUAGAGGUAGGAGGCACAAGGCACUGGCACCACCCCUGAAGGGGAUCAGAAAGCACCUAUGGCAGAAAGCCCCCUUGGCUCUCAGCUGUGCCCUCCAUUGCUCUGCAGGUGGAAGGCACAAAGCACUGCCUCCAUCCUUCAAUGGGAGACAAGCCAUAUAUUGUCUUGCCUCCAGCUCUUUAGGAAGCUGACGAACAACUCGCUUUCCACAGUCCCCUUACAGCAUACCAGGUACCUCUCAUACAAAGGCAGCUCAAACGCCAUUUCUUCCCAGUGCUUAACUCGCAGCUUUAGGACUUCUGCUUCUGCCGCCAUUCCACCUUGCCAAUCCGGCUCAGACGAAAUGCCUACAUCUUCCCCUGAAGCAACUGGGCUGAGUCCCAAAUGAUUGAGCGUCCACGUGCUUAGGAGGCGAUAGACUGCACGCCUUUUUCCAACCACCAAUGUGCACUGCUGGAGAGAUUUUCGUAAAGAAGCUAUGUCAGAAAGGCCCCUUUGCUCACAGCCGUGCCCUUCAUUGCUCUACAGGUGGAAGGCACAAGGCACUGGCUCUGGAUCCACCCCUCAAUAGGAGACAAACAACAUCUUGUCCUGCUUCCAGCUCUGUAGGAAGCUGAGAAAAAACUCCCUUUCCACAGUGCCCUUACAGCGUCCUGGGAACAUCUCAUACAAAGGAGGCUGAACACCGUUUCCUUCAUCACUUCACACCCCAGUCUGGGACUUCUGCAUCCUGCACAUUUCCACCUUGGCAACCUGGCUCAGACAAAAUGCCUACAUCUUCCCCUUCAGCAACGGGCACGAGGCCCAGAUGAUUCUGCUUCCACAUGCUUAGCAGGAGCAGACAAUAGGCUUUUUACAAACCGCCAUUGUGCACUGGUGCUGAGAGUGUCAGAGUGCACCUAUGUCAGAAAGGGCCCUUUGCUCUCAGCCAUGACCUCCAUUGCUCCAGAGGUGGAAGGCACAAAGCACUAUCUCCAUCCUUCAAUUGGAGACAAGCCAUCAACUGUCCUGCUUCCAGCUCUGUAGGAAGCUGAGAAAGAUCUCGCUUUCCACAGUGCUGUUACAGCAUACGAGGAAACUCUCAUACAAAGUCAGCUCAAACGCCAUUUCUUCCCAGCACUUAAUUUGCCGCUUUAGGACUUCUGCCACUGCUGCAAUUCUACCUUGCCAACCUUGCUCAGAUGAAAUGCCUACAUCUUCCCCUGAAGCAACUGGGCUGAGUCCCAAAUGAUUUAGCAUCCACCUGCUCAGGAGGCGAUAGACUGUAAACCUUUUUCCAACCACCAUUGUGCACUGGUGGAGAGAGUCUCAGAAUGCAGCUAUGUCAGAAAGACCCUUUUGCUCUCAACCAUGCCCUCCAUUGCUCUAGACGUGGAAUGCACAAUGCAUUGGCUCCACCCCUCAAGGGGCCACAAGCCACAGACCAUCUUUCUUCCAUCUCUUUAGGAAGCUGAGAACAAACUCACCUGACGUAUAAAAAGGAAUCAUGCCCUUUAUGUGCCAGAAAACCCCGGGAGACAUGCCAAAAACACUCUCUGCACACUCUCAAAAAGCCACACAUUCAUGCCUGUACGACCCAACAGGCAUACCAGAAGCACCCACGUUGCAUGCCAGAACCACCUGUAACCACCUGCCGGACACAGUGGAACAACGAUUCUGAGACUGCAGAACCAUCUCUUCAACAUGCCAGCCACACACAAUGACAUGACCGAACCUGAUUCCAAACACAGCACAACGACAUGCCAGACACAUUGUAAACACCUGUUGGAUAUGCCGCAAACAUGUGCCAGAAACACUGAAACCAGCUGAGGAGUAUGUAAGAACGGGGGCCAGAAAUGCCACAAGCACCUGUCUUACAAGCCAGAGCCACGAGCCCAAAAAGCAGGAAAGAUCUCCCGGACACACCAAAAUAACCUGCCGGUGACGCCAGAACCACUUGGCGGACACCCAGGGAUCACCUGCCGGGCACGCCCGAAGCACCUCACAGACGUGCCAGAACAACAUGCCAGCCAUGCAGGAACCAGCUCCCAGACAGACCAGAAGAACCUGCCGGACACGCCGGAACCACUUGCCGAGCAUGCAGGAACCACCUGCUCGACACGCAGGACCCGCCUGCUGGACCUGCCAAAAUCACCUGUCGGCUCCACCAGAACCACUUGGCGGACACUCCGGAAUCAUGUGCCGGACAUGGCGGAACCAGCUCUCAGACACACCAGAACCACGUGCCGGACACGCCGGAAGCACCUGCCGAGCAUGCCGGAUCCACCUGCUUGACUCACCAGAAACACCUGCCGGACACGCCAAAAUCACCUGCCGUGUACGCCAGAACCACCUGGCGGACACUCCAGAAUCACCUGCCGCGCAUGGCGGAACCACCUCUCAGACGUGCUGGAAGCACGUGCCGGACACGCCGGAAACACCUACCGGACAGACCGGAACCACCUGCUGAGCACGCCGGAGCCACCUGCUCGACUCGCCGGAACCACCUGCCGGACAGUCCAAAAUCAACAGCUGGCUAUGCGGGAACCACCUGGUGGACAGUCCGGAAUCACCUGCCGGGCAUGCAGGAACCACUUCUCAGACGUAACAGAACCACGUGCCGGACACGCUGGAACCACGUCCUGGACAGACUGCAACCACCUGCCGGACACGCCUGGACCACCUGCCGAGCAUGCCGGAACCACCUGCUCGACUUGCAGGACCCACGUGCCGGACGCGCCAAAAUGAUCUGCCAGAUACACCAGAACCACUUACCUGACACUCCGGAAUUACCUGCCGGACUCACCAAAAACACCUCCGGGUACGCCAGAACCACUUGCCGGACACUCCGGAAUCACCUGUUGGGCAUGCGCAACCACCUCUGAGACCUACCAGAACCACGUGCUGUGCACUCCGGAACGACCUACCGGACAGACCGGAAUCACCUUUCGGGCAUGCCGGAACCACCUGUCGGAUGUGCCAGGAACACGUGCUGGAGACGCCGGAAGCACCUGCCGACCAGGCUGGAACCACCAGCUGAACAUGCCAAAAUCACCUGCCGGUUAUGACAGAAUCACUUGGAGGAAUCUCCGGGAUCACCGGCCGGGCAUGCAGGACCCACCACUGAGACAUACCAGCAGCACGUGCCAGACACGCCGGAACCACCUCUCAGACAUGCCAGAACCACAUGUCAAUGGCACCAGAAGCACCUGCCAAGCACGCCGGAACCACCUGCUCAACUCACCAGAACCACCUACCUGACACGAAAAAAUCACCUGCCCUCUAUGCCAGAACAACUUGGCGAACACUCCGGAAUCACCGGCCGGGCAUGCCGGAACCACCUCUCAGACAUGCCAGAACCACAUGCCAAUGACACCGGAAGGACCUCCCGAGCACUCCGCAACCAACUCCAGGACAUACCGGAACCACCGACCGGACACGCCGGGACCACCUGCUUGACUCGUCAGAACCACGUGCCGGAAACGCCAAAAUCACCAGCUGGCUACGCCACAACCACUUGUCGGACACUCCGGAAUCACCUUCUGGGCAUGCUGGAACCACCUCUCAGAGGUACCACAAACACAUGCCGGAGACGGCGGACGCACCUGCCGAGAAUGCCAGAAGUUCCUGCUCCACUCCACAGAACCACCUGCCGGACAUGCCAAAAUCACGGGCCGGCUACGCCAGAACCACUUGACGGACACUCCAGAAUCACCUGCCGGGCAUGCCAGCACAAACUCUCAAAAGUGCCAGAAGCACGUGCCGGACAGGCCGGAACCAUCUCCCGGACAGACCGGAACCACAGGAAACACUCGCCAGAACCACCUGCUUGACUCACCGGUCCCACCUGCCAGACACGCCAAAAUCACCUGCCCAGUACACCAGAACCACUUGGCGGACAAGCCGGAAUCACGUGAAGGGCAUGCUGACACAACCUCUCAGACGUGCCAGAACUAUGUUCCGGACACGCCGGUACCACCUGCCGAGUAUGCCAGAACCACCUGAUCCACUCCCCAAAAAAACCUGCUGGACACGCCAAAAUCACCUGCCGGCUAUGCCAGAACCACUAGGAAGACACUCCGGAAACACCUCCAGGACAGACCGGAACCACCUGCCGGAAACGCCGGAACCACCGGCUCGACUCGCCAGAACCACCGCCGGAUAUGCAAAAUCACCUGCCGGCUACGCCAGAAACACUUGGCGAUCACUCCGGAAUCACCUACCAGGCAUGGCGAAAGCACCUCUCAGAUAUGCCAGAACCCCAUGUCAAUGGCACCAGAAGCACCUGCCGAGCACGCCAGAACCACCUGCUCGACUUGCCAGAACCACCUGCCGGACAUGCCAAAAUCACGUGCCGGCUACGCCACAACCAGUUGGUGAACACUUCGGAAUCACCUGCCGGGCUGGCUGGAAACACCUGCCGGUCACACCCACAUCACCUGUCAGCUACGCCAGAACCACUUGGCGGACACUCCGGAAACUCCUGUCGGGCCGGCCGGAACCACCUCUCAGACGUGCCAGAACCAUGUGUCUGAGAUGCCGGAAGCACACCCCAACAGACGGAAACCACCUGCCAGACAAACCAGAACCACCUGCCAAGCAUGCUGCAACCACCUGCUCGACUCGCCGGAACCACUUACCUGACACGCCAAAAUCACCUGCCGGCUACACCAGAACCACUUGACGGACAAGCCGGAAUCACGUGAAGGGCAUGCCGACACAACCUCUCAGACGUGCCAGAAACUCGUGCCGGAAACCCCAGAACCACCUGCCGGACACACCGGAACCACCUGCCCGACACGCCGGAACCACCGGCUCGACUGGCAGGAACCACCGCCGGACAUGCAAAAUCACCUGCCGGCUACCCCAGAACCAUUUGGCGAACACUCCGGAAUCACCUGCCGGGCAUGCCAGAACCACCUCUCAGACAUGCCAGAACCACAUGCCAAUGACACCGGAAGCACCUGCCGAGCACGCUGGAACCACCUGCUCGACUCGCCAGAACCACCUGCCAGACACGCCAAAAUCACCUGCCGGCUAGGCCACAAUCAGUUGGUGAAUACUUCGGAAUCACCUGCCGGUCACGCAAACAUCACCAGCCAGCUACGCCAGAACCACUUGGCGGACACUCCGGAAACACCUGUCCGGCCGAAGGGAAACAACUCUCAGACGAGCCAGAACCAUGUGCCUGAGAUGCCAGAACCACACCCCGAACAGACAGAAACCACCUGCCAGACCCGCCUGAACCACCUGCUGAGCACGCCGGAACGACCUCCUCGACUCGCCGGAACCACCUACCUGACACGCCAAAAUCAACUGCCGGGUAUGCCAGAACCACUUGGUGGAAACUCCGGAAUCAUCUGCCGGACAUGCAAGAACCAGCUCUCAGACACACCAGAAUCAUGUGCCCGACACGCCGGAAGCACCUGCUGCGCAUGCCUGAGCCACCUGCUCGACUCGCAAGAAACACCUGCCGGACACGCCAAAAUCACCUGCCAGGUACGCCAGAACCACUCAGCGGACACUCCAGAAUCACCUGUCUGGCAUGCAGGAACCACCUCUCAGAGGUGCCAGAACCACAUCCUGGACACGCCGGAAUCACCUGUCGGGCAUGCCGGAACCACCUCUCAGACUUGCCAGAAACAUGUUCCGGACAUACCGGUACCACCUGCCGAGUAUGCCGGAAUCACCUUAUCCACUCCCCAGAACCACCUGCUGGACACGCCAUAAUCACCUGCCGGCUACGCCAGAAACACUCGUCAGACACUCCGCAACCACCUCUAGGACAGACCAGAACCACCUGCAGGACAUGCCGGAACCACUGGCUCGAAUCUCCGGAACCACCGCCGGACAUGCAAAAUCACCUGCCGCCUACGCCAGAACCACUUGGCGAACACUCCGGAAUCACCUGCUGGGCAUGCCAGAACCACCUCUCAGACAUGCCAUAACCACAUGCCAAUGACAUCGGAAACACCUGCCGAGCAUGCUGGAACCACCUGCUAGACUCGCCACAGCCACCUGACGGACACGCCAAAAUCACCUGCCGGCUACACCAGAACCACUCGGCAGGCAUUCCGCAACCACCUCCAGGACAGACCGGAACCACCUUCCGGACAGACCGGAACCACUAGAAACACUCGCAGGAACAACCUGCUUGACUCACCGGUCCGACCUGCCGGACACGCCAAAAUCACCUGCUCGCUACACCAGAACCACUUGGCGGACAAGCUGGAAUCACAUGAAGGGCAUGCCGACACAAUCUCUCAGACGUGCGAGAACCUCGUGCCGGACACCCCAGAACCACCUGCCGGACAGACCGGAACCACCUGCCAGACACACCGGAACCACUGGCUCAACUCUCUCACCUGCCGGCUACGCCAGAACCACUUGGUGAACACUCCGGAAUCACCUGUCGGGCAUGCCGGAACAACCUCUCAGACAUGCCAGAACCACAUGCCAA
rnacentral:lncRNA from 1 species